CCAAGCUGUUCCAGCCGCUAGGCAGGCGCCUCGGAGGCGGGUACAGGCCAUUUUCCCACCAGCCUGGUCCAGGUGGCCUGGAGGCUGCAGGGGUCGUCUGGGAACAGGUCCUGCCCCUGAUUGAGGCAUGAAAUCUGGGUCUCUCAGACCUGACGGACUUUCGGGAUCAUCUUCCUAGGUCCCCACAAAGUGCCUGAAGACAGGAAACAUUUGGUGUGCUUGACGGGGACUAUGAGAUCUUAUGGCAUCUCAAAGGGCAGAAGUCUGGACAGGAAGACCAAUUGCAUGGUAGAGGAUUCCCCAAGUAGACCACGUGUGUGCCAGCCCAGCAGGCAAACUGCCCCAUAUGUGUUUGUCCGUCAACUGUGCGUGCAGAGCUUUACUCUCGUGCAUGACACAGGAAGCCCACGGGACGCUCCCCCAGCACGCCCCGCUGCCUCGGCACUCCUGGAAGGAAGACCUGUUCUUGUUUCUUCCGUACUCUCAGGAUCUGGCACAGAACCCGACAAAGGAUAUGACUUGCAGAUGUCGAGAUGGAACCUCACCAGGGCUUCCUUCUGAAAGGAAACUUCCAGAAAGCAGCAGACAGACCACAGAACAUCCUUCCUAGAAAAAGAUAAGUCAUCUAUAGACCAGCAACAGCUCUGAUCACAUGACUGCAAGCAAGGUUUCCAAAGAAAUCAAAAUGAUAGCUUAAAGAAUGAGCAUGGAAAAUUUCUUUGUAGAAAGAUUCAAAUUCACAAUGUGACCAAUUAAAAGGAAUCCUAGCGUACAUUUUUUUUUCUCAAAAAAAUUUCACAAAUACUGUCUUAUUUGAUUCUCAUAUUAACCUGUGGAUAUGGGCUGUGAAUAUGAGCCAUGAAGACAUUAUUCUCCACUUUAUAAUUGAGAGAAGGGAGGGAGGACAUCAGUGACUCGCAUCUCAGGGUACAUGACAGUGAGUGAUUGAGACAGACUUGGGUCUUUUGGUUACUCCUAGUACAGUGCUCUCUCCACCUCAUCCUGCCUUUACAAACUGGAAGCAGGUUAAGUAGCAAUUCAUUUAUUUUUCUUUCAGAAAGAAAUACAUCUUUAAAAGAAUGAGGAUCAAAAAUUGUGUAAAUAGAUGAGGCUGGCGCAGUGGCUCAUACUUGUAAUCCCAGCAUUUUGGGAGGCUGAGGCAGGUGGAUCACCUCAGAUCAGGAGUUCGAGACCAGCCUGGACAAUAUGGCCAGACCCUAUCUCUACUAAAAAUAAAAAAAAUUAACUGGGUGUAAUGGUGGAACCUGUAAUCCCAGCUACUCGGUAGGCUGAGGUAGGGAUAAUUACUUGAACCCAGGAAGUGGAGGUUGCAAUGAGCUGAGAUGGUGCCACUGCACUCUGGCCUGGGCAACAGAGCAAGAUUCUGUCUCAAAAAAAAAAAAAAAAAGUUGUAUAAAUAAAUGUAAAAAAUUCAAGUAUCUUCAUUCUAUUUUAUAAUAUAGUCAAGGUGUUUUUUGAUUUUCUUUUUUAAGGUAGAAAAACUGAGGGGCAGAGGUAAGUAGAGACAAAGGGA
rnacentral:lncRNA from 1 species